rnacentral:rRNA from 1 species
ACGGAGGAUGCAAGCGUUAUCCGGAUUUAUUGGGUUUAAAGGGUGCGUAGGCGGACUGAUAAGUCAGUGGUGAAAGUUUUCGGCUUAACCGAAGAAUUGCCGUUGAAACUGUCGGUCUUGAGUUUAGUGGAAGUAGGCGGAAUGUGUAGUGUAGCGGUGAAAUGCAUAGAUAUUAGGCGGAACACCAAUGGCGAAGGCAGCUUACUGGAGUACAACUGACGCUGAAGCGCGAAAGCGUGGGGAUCAAACAG